GACGAACGCUGGCGGCGCGCCUAACACAUGCAAGUCGAACGGAGCUGCGAGAAGCUUGCUUUUCUUAGCUUAGUGGCGAACGGGUGAGUAACGCGUGAGUAACCUGCCCUGGAGUGGGGGACAACAGUUGGAAACGACUGCUAAUACCGCAUAAGCCCACGAUCCGGCAUCGGAUUGAGGGAAAAGGAUUUAUUCGCUUCAGGAUGGACUCGCGUCCAAUUAGCUAGUUGGUGAGGUAACGGCCCACCAAGGCGACGAUUGGUAGCCGGACUGAGAGGUUGGACGGCCACAUUGGGACUGAGACACGGCCCAGACUCCUACGGGAGGCAGCAGUGGGGGAUAUUGCACAAUGGGGGAAACCCUGAUGCAGCGACGCCGCGUGGAGGAAGAAGGUUGUCGGAUUGUAAACUCCUGUCGGUAGGGACGAUAAUGACGGUACCUAACAAGAAAGCACCGGCUAACUACGU
rnacentral:rRNA from 1 species